CGUAAGCGAGUGCCAGGAGCUGGCUGAGUGCGAGGGGGUGGGGCGUGGUGCGGCUUGACGGGGAGUAAGGGGCGCGCAGGCGGGGCAUUUUGUCAGGCGUGAAGGCGCGGGGCUGAACCUGGGAACCGCGUUUGGGAGGGAUGGGUUAGAGUUCGGGGGAGGGGAGUGGAAUUGCCAGUGUAGAGGUGAAAUGCGUAGAUAUUGGGAAGAACACCGGGGGCGAAGGCGGCUCUCUGGACCGAGACUGACGCUGAGGCGCGAAAGCGUGGGGAGCAAACAGGAUUAGAUACCCCGGUAGUC
rnacentral:rRNA from 1 species